GAAGGAAUGGCGGAAUAGGUAGACGCGCUACUCAACAAUAGGGAGUGUCAGCCCUUAGAUGUAGUGAGCAUGACAACUCAUCUCGGUUCGAGUCCGGGUUCCUUCA
rnacentral:tRNA from 1 species